rnacentral:rRNA from 1 species
GUUAAAAAGCUCGUAGUUGAACUUCUGACAUGAGUUGGACGUGUAUUAUCUCUUUGAGAGCAUGUCCUUGUGUCAUCCCAUUAGAUCCUGCAUCACGAUCUUAGCUGGUCGGUUGAGGGAUCUAUGAAUUUACUUUGAAAAAAUUAGAGUGUUUCAAGCAGGCUCUUGCUGGAAUACAUUAGCAUGGAAUAAUAGAAAAGGACCUUAGUACGUCACUUUAUUGGUACUAUGACACUAGGUAAUGAUUAACAGGGACAGUUGGGGGCAUUAGUAUUAUUUCAGAAGAGGUGAAAUUCAUUGAUUGAGAUGAGACUAACUUAUGCGAAAGCAUUUGCCAAGGAUGUUUUCAUUAAUCAAGAACGAAAGUUAGGGGAUCAAAGACGAUUAGAUACCGUCCUAGUCUUAACCAUAAACUAUACCGACUAGGGAUUGGUGAGGAACUUCGUGCCUCAUCAGCACCUUAUGAGAAAUCAAAGUAUUUGGGUUCUGGGGGGAGUAUGGUCGCAAGGCUGAAACUUAAAGGAAUUGACGGAAGGGCACCACCAGGAGUGGAGUCUGCGGCUUAAUUUGACUCAACACGGGGAAACUUAGCAGGUCCAGACAUAGUUAGGAUUGACAGAUUGAGAGCUC